GAUGAACGCUGGCGGCGUGCCUAAUACAUGCAAGUCGAGCGAACAGAUGAGGAGCUUGCUCCUCUGACGUUAGCGGCGGACGGGUGAGUAACACGUGGAUAACCUACCUAUAAGACUGGGAGAACUUCGGGAAACCGGAGCUAAUACCGGAGAAUAUAUUGAACCGCAUGGAUCAAUAGUGAAAGACGGUUUUGCUGUCACUUAUAGAUGGAUCCGCGCCGCAUUAGCUAGUUGGUAAGGUAACGGCUUACCAAGGCAACGAUGCGUAGCCGACCUGAGAGGGUGAUCGGCCACACUGGAACUGAGACACGGUCCAGACUCCUACGGGAGGCAGCAGUAGGGAAUCUUCCGCAAUGGGCGCAAGCCUGACGGAGCCACGCCGCGUGAGUGAUGAAGGUCUUCGGAUCGUAAAGCUCUGUUAUUAGGGAAGAACAAAUGUGUAAGUAACUAUGCACGUCUUGACGGUACCUAAUCAGAAAGCCACGGCUAACUACGUG
rnacentral:rRNA from 1 species